UGUAGCUCAGUGGGUAGAGUGUCUGCUCAGCAUGCAGGAAGCCCUGGGUUCUAUCCCCAGUA
rnacentral:tRNA from 1 species